ensembl:lncRNA
GAGGAACUUGGGAUCAGCAGCUUCUGUGGGACAUUCUCUGAGAUUGGGGGACUGCUUGUACUAAGCUUUAUAGUGGACCUUCACGUUCUGAGUUUCUGAAAUGUUGGUGAUGUCUGAGAAAGGGAAGAUAAAUCAUGCUGCCACUGCUCUCUGCACACCCACCUCUGCAAAGUAUCUAAAAUCGAGUUUUGGAUCUCAGACAUCAUCCUGAGAAACACUGUUUACACACAUUAAAGGAAGAGGGAGACAAACAAAAUAAUGAAAAUAUUUGUUUUUGCCAGUCCUACUUAGCCAAGAAAGAAGCAGAAACGGAUCACAGCCAGAACACGCUGUACCCAGUGCUUGCUGGCUGAUGAUCGCCUUCUAUAAAAUUAACCCAUCUGACCUAAUGCUCCACCUCAGCCCUACAACAUCUGCUGGCAAGCAGAGGAGCUCCCUAUGUAAAGACAAUUAACUCCAUGGCAGAGCAAGGCAAGCAGGCAGAAAGAAAAGGCAGGAGUCCCUGUUGUCUCUGUGGGGCAUUGGGAGUGGCAGUACCACUGGCACAGACCCUGGGCACAGCUGACCCCGCUUCACUCCCCGCAUAGCAAGCGCCCCAAACCAGUCAUGCAUCAAAACAGG